GGAAAAUACACCCGAAGCACAGGAGGGGAGGGGAUCUUGGUGUAGGAAUGUGAGUACCAGGCACAAGAUCAUCUGGACUAAAGAAGAUUCCCGGUCUCCCUUCAAGCUAGGUGUGUUUGUGUGCUGGAAAAUGGCAUCCAGAGGAGGAUUAUCUGCCCUGAAAGAAACAACUUGGUGAUCACAGAAAAAUCAAUCAGUGCAUUCUCUGGAGAUUACAAUAUGCAUCCUUAAUUUAUCACAGUAUAUUUCAAGUUAACAUUGUGUCACUCCAUGUAAAGUGAAAUAAUCGUACAACAAAGAGUGAUAUGGCCUUGGAAAGAGUGGGCUACAACGAGACCACUCAGAAAGCUUUGUAUGUGUUUCCUGAUAUCAAGGGACUUUGUAACCUGGAGACAAAUGCUCACCUCAUCUCUCUAGAGGAUGCAAAAAC
rnacentral:lncRNA from 1 species